UGAAGGAGAGAGAAGAGAGGCUGUACGGAUGACUUAGUGGCUUUACCUAACAGAUGCAGAGGUGACAGCGUCUCAAACAUUUCCCUGCUGCUCUACAUCUCUUCUGACGCGCAGCAGUUGCCGUUUUCUUCUCGUCAAACAAGGGCUCUUUGGGCUCACUGGAUACACAGAGACUGAACAUGUGAAUUUAAUGUGGACAACAUAUUAUCAUUCUUUAAUUAAUGACCAACAUCACCAGUAUCUCAUGGAUGCAAAGUUGAAUUGCACGCGACAAACAGAAACAGAGAUGUUGAAGGUACCGAGUAUUGCACUCAGCGGUGCUCUUCUGUAAGAGGAGGGUUUAAUCAGAGUCGUUAUCCGCCCCUUUAAUGCAAGUGUCCAUGGAGGACGGAUCUAUCUGGAGGACAUUACCAUCGGAAGUCCUUCACGGACACUUCGCAGUGGCUUCUGUUAAAAAUGUGCGGCGUUUGGGUCGCCAGUAACACGGUUAUUUACAAUGAUGGGACCGCGCAGCCUGUCUCAGGCAGAGCCAAGCAUGACUCCGCCACGACGCUCAUCCACUGCUGUUGACAGGUUGCCUACGGAGACUGUUCAGAGGAAUAACAGCAGUAAUACUGGUGUUAUUCUGGACAUUUCCACCCUGAAAAUGGCCGAUGUGGACUCUGAGGUCCCUCCUCUACCUCCACGAUACCGCUUUCGAGAUCUGCUGCU